CCACCCAGGGCCGGAAAGUUGGUCAAACUCGGUCAUUUAGAGGAAGUAAAAGUCGUAACAAGGUCUCCGUAGGUGAACCUGCGGAGGGAUCAUUA
rnacentral:rRNA from 1 species